rnacentral:lncRNA from 1 species
UUUCACCCAAUUUUCCACCAGCCCAAAGACAUACCCGCACGUCUACCCCCAAACCAGACCCAUCCUCAAAUAUAUACAAGCAAAUACAGAGCCCUAACUUCCUAAAGACCCAAGAGGUUCACGUUUGAUUUCCGUGUGGGAGCUUGGAUUUUAGCAGCUGUUUUUUCUUCUCAAGUGUGUCGCCAAAUCUUCUUCUGCUUGUAAUCGCUUCCAAACAUAUUUAAUUGAAAGAAAUCUAAGGUUCAACUUCUCCUCUUUUCUUCAGUUAUGUUUAAAGGCUCGAUUCAAAUAUGAAUAGAACCAGGGAUUUAGUAGGGUUCGAGGAUGUUUAAUUCUUGUUCGUUUAAGAUUCAGUAUGGAUUUGUGAUAUUAACUUAUGAAGCUCGAAUUUGUUUGUGAGUCUUAUGAUUGCUGCGCUUUUUAUGAACAUUUCAACUUGUUCGAUUGAAUUGGAACUCGGAAAAAUGAACUCUAAAAUCAUUCUUUGAUGUCCUCUGUCGCAUUCUUGCAUAUGUUCAUAUUAUUUCUUUGUUUACAAAUGAAAGAUAAUUUCAAGCAGCCCUAUACUCGAUACUUAUUUGAUCUUUUGGCUAUUUGCUUGAAUUUAGGUGUCAACUGAGUUCUUUGAAAUUGUUCUCUGGUGUUAUCUGCCCGUCAUUGGUUUGGUUGGCUUCGUUUAUAUCCUAAGAACUGUACGAAUCUUCGAAUCUUAAUCAAGUCAAUCCCAGUGGUUUGUAUAUUUUUAAUUCCUCAUUCGAUCAUGAUCUCUCUGAUGUCACAAUUUGAUUUGGACCUGAAUAAUCCCCUGCCCUGUUUCUUCUCCAUGACUGGCUGACAAUCACUCCCUUUCUCUUGGUUUGAAUCUGCCAGUUAGCAAGAUUAGAUUAGUGUGGUGCAUAUUUUCUGCUUUUCGAGUCCAAGUCAUGAAUUUACUGAACAAUUGUUGGUUGUUCUCCUGUGUGAAAGACUGAGAAUGAAUGUGAACAUUAGCCAUCCGACAUCAAUUCCAUGUGUUUGUUAUGUUCUGCCUUGAGAUUAUAAUGCAAUUUGAAGGAUCAUUUCAUGAAUUUUCUGCUGAAUCUUUAUUUGUGUGUAUUUGCGAGUUUAAGCUAGGAUUUGCUUUUAAAAAUUGAAAUCUGGUAUUAUUGAAUUCAGUACCUUCAAUCAUGUUGCUAUUGUGACACGAACACAACCAACCUUAGAAAGUGAAUACAUGCUUUAGUCCAUUCAUCUUGUACAAGCUGCCUCACACAUUCACACUCAUGUUUCAUUUGUUGCAGUUAAAUAAUCUUCAACACACCUCUCUUUCUCAAUGCUUCUUUUUCUUUUUGUUGCCUCAUUGAAUUUUUACUAGGCUUCUGGUAGAAGUUUGAGUAGCUCAAGGUUAUCUUGUAAAUGCUAAUUUGUCACUUUCAUGGAAAGCACUCGUAUUUGUGAUGAUAAAUUGCGGUGUGCAUUGUAGCAUAAGAUGAGUUUAAUUGUGAUGAUAUUGACAAUGAAUAAGUGUAAGUUGCCAAUAAUGUAAUGCGUGGUUAUGUUAAUUUGGUUUUUUUUAAAACUGCCUGGAAGCUUCAGCUGUUGCAGUAAUUUAGAAAAAUGAUCUUCCUUGUAUGUUUGGAUGGAGUCAGUGUUUGAUUCUGCUAAUCCAUUUUCAACAUAACUCUUUGCAAUGACUAGUUUUUUUAGAAAUUCAAAUGAUGGUUUCGAAAUUGGUUGGCCACUAUAAUCUUUUACUUCAUUAGAGGAUCUUCACUCCCAUCCCUAGUAUAAAUGUACAGAAGCUCAAAAACUUGAUUUGUAUUUCAUUUGGCAUUAAUCUCAGCUUGUUAAGGUUUGUUGGUUAGUUGCUUUACUCCUUUUCUCAUCCAUCUUCACUCUUCCCCUUCAUUUUCUGAUAACAUGAUAGGCGGCACUUUAAUUGGGAUUGGAGCUUUAUUUCCUUUUGUUUCUUAAAUAACAAUAACAUUGGUAUGAGGAUAGGGUUCUAAGGGAUGAAAGAUUGCAAGCCGCAUGAUAGUAAGAGAUAGUAAGGCUUGUUGGAAAAUGGCAUUUGUUACUGGAUAAUUAGUGAAAGGCAUGCCAACUAUUGAUGUAUUCAUGAAUACUCCAUUGAGCUUUGGCAAUUUCUUUAAAUGCUAAUGCUAUUCCUUUCAUGGUAGAUUACUGUAUUGGUAUGUGAAAUAUGUCAUGUAUUAAGGGACUUCCUAGUAACAUUAAUUAAUAUUUGGUUUUCUGUUGUCUUGUUGGAGUAUGUAGUGAUUGAUCGAACCUCUACUUUUUCAUUUUGUUGCUUGUUAUAGAAUACUAGGCUAAGCUGCUAAUAAUCUUCUUGCAAAGUGACAUGGAUUCUUCUGUAAAAACAAGGUUCUUGUAAUCAUGUUUUUUUUUUAUUUCGCAAAUAUAGAUGAGCUAGUUGAAUCGCCUUCCUAAUAAUAAAAAUCUCAUGACUACAGGUACGGUUCCCGUGACGUAGUUGCGGUGAUUAAUUUCAUAUUAGCUCCAAAUAUGAAUAUCCUAGUUCAUUUAGUUGAAUAGUUUUGAGGCGUGCCAUGCGUACAUUUGAAUCAUAUAAUCUAUGGCCCUCAAAUGUUAUAACUUAGAUAUUUAAAAUGAAUCUCGUAGUUUGCUUUAGGCACGUAAUUAAACUAUCACAACUACGGGUACGAUUCCCGUGACGUGGUUAUGAUACUUGGUUUUUUAAAUUAGAUAUAAGUAGGAGUGUUUUUGGUUUGCCUUAGCUAAGCACAAAUUCUUUUUCCUAAAAUAAAUUGAGGUGCUCCAUACGCAAAUAAAAUCCAUAAUGUAUGGCCCUCACAUAAAUACAAAAAUUUGUACAAAAAAAAUGCCUUGAACUUUCGUAGUUUGAUUUAGGCGCAUUAAUAAUUGUCAUAGCUACGGGUAUGGUUCCCGUGACGUGACCCCGAUUCUAAAAAUCGGGGGUACAUUUAUGUGACCCGACCCCGAUUUAAUUUUGUUAAUUAAAAUAAAUAUGUUGUGGAUUGUGGGUAUGGUUCCCGUGACAUGAUUCGCAAUGUGUAAUCAAUAAUUAGUUGUAAUAAUUGGAUUAUUAAAAGCGGUUUAAAAGGAAUAAAAUGCACAUAGGUUCCAAAAAUGUUUUAAAAUCAGAUAAAUAGGCCAGUAAUAAUAGUUGAGCGACCGUGCUAAAACUAUAGAACCCGAAAAUGCCUAACACCUUCUCCCAGGUUAACAGAAUUCCUUACCCGAUUUUUUGUGUUCGCGGACUGCAAAACACAGUCAAUCUUUUCUCGAUUCGGGAUUUAAAACCAGUGACUUGGGACACCAUAAAUUAUCCCAAGUGGCGACUCUGAUUCAUAAAUAAUAAUCCCGUUUCGAUUGUCACUUAAGUUGGAAAACACUCCCUUAUACCUCUUUCGGGGUGUAGGAAAAAGGAGGUGUGACAACCGUAGGUGCGAAAAAGCUAGGUCAGAAAGUAUAAAAAGAUUUCCUUUGCGAAUUUGGGUUAUUUUUCAUAAUAUUUCAACGGGAAGAAACUUUGGAGAGCAAAUUUCAAGGGAGAUUUUCAUAAGGAUUCAUUGACGUAAAGUCUUUGGUCUUUAAGCUCGUUAUUAUGGUAAUUUUUAUCAUUGUAAGCAUGAAAUUUAAAGAAAAAUCAGUGGUAAAUUAGGGGUUAGGGCUUGGUUAAUUGGAGAGCUUUGAGUGAUGAUCUGAGGGACCGUUUGGGGUCCAAUUUUGGUGCUUUUGGUAUGAAUGAACUCGUGAGAGUGUGAGGAUUCUGAAUUUAUAAAUUUUACCCGAUUCCGAGAUGUGGGCCUGGGGGCGUUUUGGUCAUUUUUUCUAAUUUUGUGUAUUAGCUUAGAAUUAAUUAGUGGAAUCAGUUAGUUGAAGUUAUAUUUACAUUAUGUAAUUGAUUUGAAUAGAUUUGGGCCAUUUGGAGUCGAGUACUCGUGGUAGGAGCGUGGUUUCAGGUUGAUUUUUGAGUCGGUUCGAGGUAAGUGGCUUACCUAACCUUGUGUGGGAGAACUCCCCUUAGGAUUUGGUAUUGUUGAUAUUUGAAAUGCCUUGUACGUGAGGUGACGAGUGCGUACUUAUGCUAAUUGUUGAAAAUCCUAUUUUUAUUUAGUAACUAUAAUUGUGUUUCCUUUCCUGUUUAUACUACUUGCAAUUUAAGCAUGUUGUUAGCUUAGGGAAUCGUGUCUAAUUGACUUAAUUGCUUUACUUGCUCAAACUGCCUUAUUUGAAUUAUGUGCAGCAUGCUAAGUUAGACAUACCUGUUUUACCUUGGUAUGAAAUUUGAAUUGAAUUGAGUAUUUUUUGUGUUGCUGCUGUUUGUUUACUUUGGGACUACGGGAUGGUAUCCCGGUAGAUCCCCCUGCACAUUUAUAUUGGAACUAAGGGACUGCACCAGGUAGAUUUCCCUAGUACUGGGUAUUUACAUUUGGGGACUACGGCUCGGGAUUCCGGUAGAUCCCCGAUGCACUAUGAGUUGGACUACGGGACGACACCUGGGAGAAUCCACUGGAAAUUUAUAUUUGGGGGCUACAGGACGGUAUCCUGGUAGAUCCCCGAUUUGCUGGAUAUUUACAUUUGGGGGCUAUAGGACGGUAUCCUGGUAGAUCCCUAAUUGCUAUCUCUGUGUUGAACUGUAUUGUUUCUGUGAUGUUUUUCUCUGUUGUAUUUUUGUUAUUCUUAUUAUCCUGUGUUACUUCAUACUGUUAGCAUUUAAUUAUAUUGUCAUAUUUUAUACUUUUUUGCCUCGUUUUUCAGCUAUAAUCAGUAGGGCCCUGACCUUCCUCAUCACUACUCGAUCGAGGCUAGGCUUGUCACUUACUGAGUACCGUUAUGGUGUACUCAUGCCCUUUAUGCGCAUGUUUUUUAUGUGCAUAUCCAGGUUCUUCGGCUCAGCCCUACUACCCCUGAGGCGAGGCGAUUCUUCAGAGACUUCGAGGUAUAUCUGCCACGUCCGUAGACCGAAGAGUCCCUCUCCAUUCUCUCUUGUUGUUACAGCCCAUCGGUAUUUACUUUGUUUUAGACAUUCUGGAGUUAGCGCACAAUGUAGGAUCCUUAGCAUGUGAUUUCAUGAGAUUCCGAGUUUUGGGAAGUUGUUCAGUUUUUGAGAUCUUGUAUUAGUAUAUGCCGAGCGACAUCUUAAACGCUUCUAUAUUUGUUUAUCUUCAGUUUUAUUAGUUUUUCGUAUUUUGUUUCUUUUUCCGCAAUUGUUAGGCUUACCUAGUCGUAGAGACUAGGUGCCGUCACGACAGUUCACGGAGGGCAAACUUGGGUCGUGACAGGUAUGACCACAAGAUGCACGUGAAAUUCUUUAUAAGAGUGAGCAAAUUUUGUUCAAUUGUGUGAUAUCCUUAAAUUUUGUUCAAGGUCAUACGUGAAUGUGUAGAAUAUUCUAUAUUCAUUCUUUUGUUUGUGGUGAGGGCACAUGAUCUCAUGAAGGAUUGGUAAUGUUGUAAGCUUCUUUUGUUAGGUGAGUGCGCGAGUUGAGGAUGCUUAGUGGUAACGAGUCGGCUCUUGAGGUAGGGUGGUUACGGAUAGGUUGUUUGAAUUGAUUGAAUUAAAGUGAUAUACUUGGGCAUGUUUAAACGGAAAGAAUGUGAAUUUUAUAUGUUCAUGCUUGAUUGCCGUGUAUGGAUCAUAGUCAAGGGUAGCGUGUAUGGGUAAAAUAUUAAAGUGCUCCUCUCUAGUUGAGAUGUGUACGUUGUUAGGGUGUAGUUGAUAGUCCCAUUGCUCAAGGAAGAGCAAGAGUCUAAGUGUGAGGUGUUGAUAUUUAGCUUAAUGUAUAUAUAUUUAUAUGUAUAUCGCCUCAUAUUUUACUCGUGUUUCAUAGAUUUCGGAUGUGAAUUGUAUUGAUUUAUGCUUAUUCGUAUUAUUUUUAUAUGUAGGAAUCAUCCGGAGGCAAUAGAGGGCGAAAGGUACGAGAUUAGAGUAAAAAAAAAAGAAGCAAAAGAUGAAAAAUUAGCCAUUGUAACGCCACAGGCACCGUAGGGCGCUACCUGCGCCGCCAUAUCCAUAAUGUUUAAUUUGCCAACGGCAAGCGCCACAAGCUGCCCUGGGUGCUAGUGACGGGAACUUCUCCAACUUUGCCGGGGACAAGGUUAUUUCGGCCCAAGACCUACCCAAUGCAUAUAAAAGCAAGACUAAGCCUAUUUUGAGAGGGGUGGCGCCACUUUGAUGGAAAAAUACGCACGAGGAACACCCGGGAGCGAGGAUAUCUCAGUUUUCUUCAUCUUUUCUUAGUAUUUUCAAUUAUUCAACACUUGUGAAUUUGUUUUGAUAUUAUCAUGAGUGGCUAAAACCCAUAGUUCUAGGGUUGUGAUUUAGCCAUGAAUAUUGUUAUUUAAAGUUGACUUAACCUUAAUUACAUUUCAC